UACGUAGGGUGCGAGCGUUGUCCGGAAUUAUUGGGCGUAAAGGGCUCGUAGGCGGUCUGUCGCGUCGGGAGUGAAAACUCAGGGCUUAACCCUGAGCCUGCUUCCGAUACGGGCAGACUAGAGGUAUGCAGGGGAGAACGGAAUUCCUGGUGUAGCGGUGAAAUGCGCAGAUAUCAGGAGGAACACCGGUGGCGAAGGCGGUUCUCUGGGCCUGUACUGACGCUGAGGAGCGAAAGCGUGGGGAGCAAACAGG
rnacentral:rRNA from 1 species